GGCUCAGAACGAACGCUGGCGGCGGGCCUCAUACAUGCAAGUCGAGCGCGAAAGUCCGCAAGGAUGAGUAAAGCGGCGCACGGGUGAGUAACACGUGGAUAAUCUACCCUUUGGAUUGGAAUAACCUGUCGAAAGACGGGCUAAUGCCGAGUAAGCUCUCGGGAGCGUGAAGCUCUUGCGAGGAAAGAUGGCGCAAGCUAUCGCCGAUGGAUGAGUCUGCGUCCCAUUAGUUAGUUGGUGAGGUAACAGCUUACCAAGACGAUGAUGGGUACCUGGUCUGAGAGGAUGGUCAGGCACACUGGAACUGAAACACGGUCCAGACUCCUACGGGAGGCAGCAGUAGGGAAUAUUGCGCAAUGGACGAAAGUCUGACGCAGCCACGCCGCGUGAGUGAGGAAGGCCUUCGGGUUGUAAAGCUCUGUCAUCCGGGAAAAACGGCUAUCUGGGGAAAGUUCAGGUAGCGUGAUGGUACCGGAGGAGGAAGCACCGGCAAACUCUGUGCCAGCAGCCGCGGUAAUACAGAGGGUGCAAGCGUUGUUCGGAAUUACUGGGCGUAAAGCGUGCGUAGUCGGUAUUGAGAGUCACGGGUGAAAUCCCAGGGCUUAACCCUGGAACUGCCUGUGAGACCUCAGUACUAGAGUGUGAGAGGGGAUAGUGGAAUACCCAGUGUAGCGGUGAAAUGCGUAGAGAUUGGGUGGAACACCGGUGGCGAAGGCGGCUAUCUGGCUCACAACUGACGAUCAGGCACGAAAGCGUGGGGAGCAAACAGGAUUAGAUACCCUGGUAGUCCACGCCGUAAUCUAUGCACACAAGCUGUAGUGGGAUUUUACUCCUGAAUUGGUGAAGCUAACGCAAUUAGUGUGCCGCCUGGGGAGUACGGUCCCAAGAUCAAUACUCAAAAGAAUCGACGGGG
rnacentral:rRNA from 1 species